UACGUAGGGUGCAAGCGUUGUCCGGAAUUAUUGGGCGUAAAGAGCUCGUAGGCGGUUUGUCGCGUCUGGUGUGAAAAUCCAGGGCUUAACCCUGGACCUGCAUCGGGUACGGGUAGACUAGAGUGCGGUAGGGGAGAUCGGAAUUCCUGGUGUAGCGGUGAAAUGCGCAGAUAUCAGGAGGAACACCGGUGGCGAAGGCGGAUCUCUGGGCCGUAACUGACGCUGAGGAGCGAAAGCAUGGGGAGCGAACAGG
rnacentral:rRNA from 1 species